rnacentral:rRNA from 1 species
UACGUAGGGUGCAAGCGUUGUCCGGAAUUAUUGGGCGUAAAGAGCUUGUAGGCGGUUUGUCGCGUCUGCUGUGAAAUUUCGGGGCUCAACCCCGAACUUGCAGUGGGUACGGGCAGACUAGAGUGUGGUAGGGGAGACUGGAAUUCCUGGUGUAGCGGUGAAAUGCGCAGAUAUCAGGAGGAACACCGGUGGCGAAGGCAGCUCGCUGGGACGUGACUGACGCUGAGACGCGAAAGCGUGGGGAGCAAACAGG